UCAUAAGUGUUUGUCCCCACUUCAUUGAGAUAUAAAUGUGUGUAUAUUUAAUUAUGAAAACAAACCCAAACCCUUCGGCCAUGUAACCGGACAUACAGCUGGUUUCAGAUUUGGUUUUUCACUCAUUUUCUUGACUUCUUAGGUAUAUGUGAUUGACUAUGGAGGAAUCGCUAAUCAAUGUCUUGUCUGAUUUGUAAUUAUUUUUGUUAAUAUUUCUUCCACUGUCUAUGGUCGUCUUGAAGGGCACGUCCACCCCAAGUAAAUAUAUGUCCUUGAAUCUCCUUGUGUCAAGUAGUCAAAUAAGCAGAUCAUUAGAUUCAUAGGGCAGAUGUUGGCUUAGAUAAGGAUCAGGCUGUUUGGAUUUUAACAUGCCUGAUCCUUUUUCUUACUCGUAAGUCAGCACUAGAGGUGUCUGACAGCGACUUACUCCCCUCACUCCAAUCAGAACCUAGGCCGAGGGGUCAGUAGAGAUAGCGUU